AUACGGAGGGUCCAAGCGUUAUCCGGAUUCAUUGGGUUUAAAGGGUCCGCAGGCGGGAAAAUAAGUCAGUGGUGAAAGCCUACAGCUCAACUGUAGAACUGCCAUUGAUACUGUUUUUCUCGAGUAUAGAUGAAGUGGGCGGAAUAUAUCAUGUAGCGGUGAAAUGCAUAGAUAUGAUAUAGAACACCGAUUGCGAAGGCAGCUCACUAAACUAUUACUGACGCUCAGGGACGAAAGCGUGGGGAGCGAACAGGAUUAGAAACCCUAGUAGUCC
rnacentral:rRNA from 1 species